GGAGAGAAGGCAGUAUGUACAGCAAUAUUUUCAACAUUGGAUAUUUAGCCUGGAUUUUGGCAUCAUUAUGGAGCAGAUGGAGUGGAAUUCCGAAAAGUCAAGUUAUUCCUCUACCAUGGCAAUAAAGAUUGGAGGUGACAUGUUUAUUUAUGAAAAAUGUUUUUUAGUAGUUUAUUAAAGAGUAUUUUACUUUUCUGUGACUUUUGUGUAACAAUGGUUGGCAAUGUUGUCAACAUGCUCAUAUGAUAUGAGGUUUUUUCAUCCAACCACAUGCAAGCUUUACACUAUACGCAUGCAAACGCUUCUGUAGUAAGGGCCGAUAUCCACCAGCAUCUCAACAGAAGAAACCAAGAAUUAGUAUUAAUCAUUCUCAUCAAAGAGUAUGGUAUGUAUUUUUGACACAUUUGUUUAUGACUAUAAAUUGAUAUUGUGGUGGAUUUUGUUGUGUUGCAUACUGAUAUCAUCGGUAUGAAGCCGCAGAUACAGAUAAAGAAAUUCAGGGCAACAACAUUAAUACUUUCAGAAGUGUUAACCAGUUCUUCUUAAUUGGUAUUAACUGUCUAUUGUUUAGCUUAUUUGUAAACAAAUUCAGCAAUUACACUUUACAGAGUUUAACUUAGUUUCACUUAUAAAUGACGCAGUGUUAAAUGACAAAAUGGAUGCCGUUAAGGCCUCUGAAAUUAUCAUAAUAUCAGAGAGAGACAGAAAUUAGUAGUCGUAUAAGAUAUUUUGAUAUAUAUUUAAAAGGACUAAAAGACUAAAAUAAUUCAACUUUUUUUUAAUGGAAAAUUUGUUUUGCAGACAUUGAUCGUAACGCAAACAAGCCGCGAUGGCUGUACUUUUGCUUUCACUAAUAUGGCCGCCAUUGCAGUAAAGGGGAACUCCCCUGAAAAACUGUUUAUAUUAAUAGUAAAAGAAAUAUACAUUUUUUUAAACCAGGGGAACACAUGCUGCAUUUCAUUUCACCCCCUGCACUGGACAGGUGUGAUGAAAUUGUGCCCUUGUAUCAGCACCAGUAAUCGGCUGAAGCACCCAGUUCAAUGUGUGGAAAACCCAGAGCCCCAAGAUUCAAUAGUGGUGUUUGACUCAGAAUACUUUUCCAACAAUAAUCAUUCCAUUGAUCCACCAAAAAUUUCUGUUCAAUGCUUGGACAAUCCAGAGGGUGAAGAUGGAGUUGUGGUGACUGACCAGCAAUCAUUUCCAAUGCCCGCUGCUUUCAGAUGUUAUGUUUUGACAUAAUUUCAAUUACUAUUACUGUAAUAUUAAACUUCAAAGAAAAUAAAAACGCUGCAUUUUGU